CGCCGCCACGGGAAUACGAAGGGUGCAAGCGUUACUCGGAAUUACUGGGCGUAAAGCGUGCGUAGGUGGUGGUUUAAGUCCGUUGUGAAAGCCCUGGGCUCAACCUGGGAAUUGCAGUGGAUACUGGGUCACUAGAGUGUGGUAGAGGAUAGUGGAAUUUCCGGUGUAGCAGUGAAAUGCGUAGAGAUCGGAAGGAACAUCUGUGGCGAAGGCGACUAUCUGGGCCAACACUGACACUGAGGCACGAAAGCGUGGGGAGCAAACAGGAUUAGAUACCCCAGUAGUCCCUGUCUCUUAUACC
rnacentral:rRNA from 1 species